AGAAUGAACGCUGGCGGCAUGCCUAACACAUGCAAGUCGAACGAGACCUUCGGGUCUAGUGGCGCACGGGUGCGUAACGCGUGGGAAUCUGCCCUUAGGUACGGAAUAACUCAGGGAAACUUGUGCUAAUACCGUAUGAUGUCGAGAGACCAAAGAUUUAUCGCCUAGGGAUGAGCCCGCGUAGGAUUAGCUAGUUGGUGGGGUAAAGGCCUACCAAGGCUACGAUCCUUAGCUGGUCUGAGAGGAUGAUCAGCCACACUGGGACUGAGACACGGCCCAGACUCCUACGGGAGGCAGCAGUGGGGAAUAUUGGACAAUGGGCGAAAGCCUGAUCCAGCAAUGCCGCGUGAGUGAAGAAGGCCUUCGGGUUGUAAGCUCUUUUACCCGGGAAGAUAAUGACUGUACCGGAGAAUAAGCUCCGGCUAACUCCGUGCCAGCAGCCGC
rnacentral:rRNA from 1 species